CCUAUUCAUUUAUUUAUCUACUUAUUUUAUUAACAUUUAGUUAGUUAUUUGUUUUAUUUAUUUAUUUUAUAGAAUAUUGCAUGAGAUUGAUGUCAUUAAUUGCGUAAACUGAUGUAUUAAUUUGUCUGUGUGUAGCUAUGAUAGAUAUAUUGUUUUUGAUUGCAUAUAUUUUUUUAUUAGUUUUAAUUCUCAAUUUCAUGACCUCUACUGCUUUUAAUUCUUAUUUUAUUUUGGCAUGAGAUUUGAAUGCACACAUUGGAGAAGAUCUUUGACGUACACGGCUGCGUAUAGAAAGUGGGCACAUCACGGCUGAGGCACAUCCAGGAGUAUAUGGAAAGAAGAUUAAAGAGAAUCUAAUUACUUACCAAAUGAGAGAGGGGCUGCAUCCUUGGAAAAUCUCCAAGUAAGCUGCACAUAUGUAGACUUCCCAUAUCCACGCGUAUAACAAAAAAAGGAAGUAAAAUAUUCUACAAGAGUGGGCUGCCAUAUAAAAAAAAGUGGGGAGAAAAAAAGGAUAGGAGGAUUUCGGAAGGAAGGAGGAAGAAGGAGUGACCGGGCAAAAGAGGAUUUUUAUCUGGGGAAUUGUCUUUAGAGGUGAGAGGAAAGCCGGAAGCCCAGCGAUUGCAGGCAAGGCUGCCCAAAAUUUAAAAUCCAUUGGGUUUGGAGGAGAGGCACAGAGGAGAGGGGACUUUCAGCACGCAUUGAGAACGGAGUGGAAUCAGAAAAGAGAAGCAAUCUUUGCUUCUUCAGAAAAGUUCUAAGGGAAUGGAUACUUCAACACGUUCUACGGUGGAUUACAAGUUUGGUUCCCCUUUAGGGAAUGCAUGUCCAAGACAGGGGAGAGCAAAAUUUUGUGUUUAUGACAUCCCAGGAGCAGUCGGGAUGGCUAAGACCUUGUUGAUGGAUCUCAGUUGCUGUUCUAAAUAAUCCGAAUUCAAGCCUGUGGAAUUUAAGCAGUGUUAUUGAGAGUUUGAGACUAUGGAACAACUACAGCUGAUCCAGCUUAUUUUGCAUCAUUUUGCUCUAACGUCAACUUGAAUCCAAGGCUUCCUCCACCUCUUAUUUAACGGGAGAAUCAAUGCCUGUUCCCUAUCCACUGACAAAGAGGAGUCUGACGACGAUAGGCCAUCCCGAAAAAUCUCAGAUGAUUGACCAGAAAGCAGCAGUGCAGUUAUGCCCAGACAGAGGACAGUUUCUUCAGCAGAUCGUCAUAAAAGUUUAGUUGAUCUGAUACAAAAGGACUUCCCCCGCACCUCAUCACUUGCAUAUAAUCAGUUUCCUUCCUCAAGCUAUGCAGCAAUGGAGGAACUAUUUAAUCGCAUUACCUCUACCUAAAGAUCCCUCAAGGAAUGAGCCAUCCUUAUAAUGACAUGGAAAAGCUUCCCCAUGCACUCCCCAAGUUCUCUUCAGUUAAGGUACAAUCUAUGAUGCAGUCUCCUAGGUUCACCCCUCCUUUGUAUGCAACAGCAGCAACGUAUAUUGCUUCAAGAAGUCCAUUUUAUCCUAAUUUGCAGUCAGUGAUGGAUCCUCAUUCGCAACUGUUAAUCUAAUAUCAGAGGGGAAGCCUAUUAUCCUUAGUCAUGCAGGAAUUGAAGAUUGCAUUGGCCUUCCCCCAAAGCUGCAAUUCCCCCUUUUAUCACAGAACUUGAAUUUGGAUGGAAUUCCAAAAUUUGACUUUUUCUCUGUUUAUGCCUUUUAAAGGUCAUUCAGCACAUUGUUAUAUUUAAGCCCCUUUGAGUUGGAAGAUUUUGUGGAAGCAUUAAGAUGCAAUUUUUUUCUAACCCUUUGUUUGAUUAUGUCCAUAUUUCUUUAUUACAAACUUUGAGAAAGCAUUUGGAAUUUCUAUCAGAUGAAGGUUCCUAAUCUGAUUUUAAUUGUUCAAGGUGUCUUAAUUGAGGUUUGUUGGAUUCAGUUCGUGGUUAGUUUUCAUGGCUGAUUCCCUACUGAUUCAUGGUUCAGGUUUGAAACCUGGUUUUGAUUUUAGUUGAUUGAAGCUAUUUGACAAUAACCACUGCAAACGACCUGUGGCCGUAAAGUUUGAGAUAUUUCGAUGUCUGUGUGAUGAUGUGAUUGCAGUGGAAGCGCUAAGAUCAGAGCUCAAUAGAAGAUCAUUGGCAGCUGAGCCUGAUAAGGAAUUCAAUCAGAAUGUUUACAUUGAGAUUUGCAAGAAAAGGAAGGCCUGAUGUUAAAACGGAAUGGAUAUCGGAAGACCUGUCACUAAGACAUUUGGCUUUAUCAUUUGUUGGUGAAUCUAUCAUAUAUCCAGAAAUAAACUUACUCAUAGAUGAACUAUGUUAUAAGGCAGACUCGUACCCUUUCUAUGACAAGUGCACAAUUUCCUAAGAAGAUUAGAGAACUACAAUCUGUUACUCAGUCUUACGUCAGUAUAGAUGCUACAACAAAGGACAAAGCUGCCGCCUUGGCUGCUGCUCGCGGUCUUGGACGCAAUGCAAAGAUUGAGUCUGUAAGGCUGCCAAUGUUGACAGUUCUUAAGCUUCAUAGUUGUGAGGGCAUAACUUCAGCUUCCAUGGCUGCAAUAUCGCAUGGUUAUAUGUUGAAGGUAACAACAAGUAGCGUUGAGAUUGGAUCAGGGGAAACUGCAUGGGAGGCGGAUGUUUCUGUCAGCUGUUGCACAGAAAUUGAUAAGACAACUGAAAAUUCAGUGGCGCCUGGGAUCCAUAAAUGUCGAAACUAUCCUAUCCAACCAAACCAAGUAUUCUGAUCUUCUAGCACGCUCCUGCCAUGAAGCUCACUGUCAAGACCUUGAAGGGAAGCACAGCAACAGCGAAAGCAACAUCUUCUACAACCGAGAAUACACAUGGUUUCAUGGCUCCUCCCAAGCCUCACAAAAUUCUAAUGGUGGCUAAGAAGCCCAACAGUGCUCUUUCUAUUGCCUCGGCUCUCUCUAGUGGUCAUAUGUCUACUAGGUGUAGUAGUACAGAAGUCCAUGAAUUUAAUGGAACCUUUCGUGGAUCUAAUGCACAAUAUAAGGUAACAACAGACAAGAAAGCUCCAAAGUUGUUGAAUUAAACAAAGAGCAGUCCAUGUUUAUCAGACUUUGAUGGUCAGAAUUGCUCCUCUGCUUCAAACUGCAUAAUCAUAGAAAACUCAGAUAUAGGCUCGGGGAGUUGUGGACCUGCAAUUGAAAAGAGUACAGGGGACCUAGUUAUGGGAAGAAAAUAUUCAUGUACAUCUAUGACAAUGUCUCUCAGAGAUACAGAUAUGUCUUCACACAAUGUCAAUCGUAUAGAGUCCAGCAUUUAUCUAAAUCCUGAUGUUGUAUAUGAAACUAGUGAGGAUUAUGCAGCUAUGCAGCCCAAUAUCAGUGUAGAUGGCUCCCUUCUUUUCGAUUUUUCAAGUCAAUAUGUGCCUGACUGUUUUGAUCUUCAAUUUAUGCCGAGCAGUGAAGAAAUACUGACCAACAUGAAGGAUGAAAAUGAGAAGCUUUCGAACAGAGAAUACAUGCUUAAGCAGUAAGAUGAAUUUAUCUCAAGAUGCAAUAACAAUGAUGCUGUCAAGGCAAUGGAAAUUCAUCGAAAAACAGAGAAUGCCUCAGUUUUCGAGUCUGAGAAGCUUGGUGUUGCUAUUUCUUGGGAGACAUUUCAGUGAUAAAGUAGAGCAUGCACCGAUUAAGAAAAGGAGCUUUAUAUUUCAGUCUUCAUUACCACCCCCAUGAACUCCUUCUCCUCCCUAUGAGGAUUCAGAACAGCUUGUAGAUAGUCAACAUUCUUCCGAGACGACAAAUGAAGAGAUUGGCGAUGGUAAAGACUUCUCUGGUAUUGAGAUGUUCGCAGCAGCUGCUUGCAAUAACAGCAUAGGUGAUGAUGUGACGGAAUCAACUACAGAGGAUGGUCCAGUUAUGACAUAUAAAGGAAACAACUCAUCUAUUUCUGCAAUGCCUAUAAAAGAAACUAUGCUGUUGUCUGUGUUGCUAUUACGGUUGAUAACCAGGAUGGUACUAAAGGGGAUAUUUGUAUUGAUAAAAGCAAAACUGCUGGUCUGAUUAAUAAUGAGGAGAAACAAGAAACAGAAACCAAACCAGAAGUUGAUCCUAAAGCCACGAGGAAUGAGCCUAUUACAAAGAUAGUUGCUGAUGGAGUACAAUCUGUGUAUAAUGGGAAAGAAGCUAUUGGCAAUGAAGAUCAGGUAGUGGAAAAUGGUGUUGAAUCUACCAUAAGGAAUCCAACACUUGAGUCGGAAUAGUCAGAAAACAAUCUUACACAUGUUAAUGCGCAGGGCGCUGAAUCGGGAAAUGUGGUCUCCUUUAUCAGUUCCUCUGCUUCCAUAAUAAGGAAAAAUAGUACUAAAAAUUCAGAAAAGAACCCUCCAUUUGAAGGACAUGCAAGGCCGAAGUGUUGAAUUAAUUCUAUGGAGAAAUUUCUAUAAUGCGGAAGGACAAAGGCUGCAAAAUAUGUGGGUAUUUCCUGUUCUGGUUGUGAAAUCUGCUAGAAUCAAUGCUUUCAAUGGGAAAGCAGUGGGGACUAUUUCUACCAGCUAGCUAUUCGAAGAUCCAAAAUAUGUUAGGCUUCUUGCAGCUCUCACUCUUGGUCACCUCCCUCAAUAUGAAGGAUUCGCUAGAGCUAGUGGUUUUGUAUCAGCAUGUCGUGCACUGAUAAGCCUGCUUGAAGACCAACCAACAAAAGAAACGAAAUCCAUUACCUAUCAGAAAGACCUGUCUCAAAUCCGUCCAACAGAAGCUGAAUCGGUUGAAACUCGAAUCAUCAUACUUUUCUCCUCUGUUGUGGCUCUCAAGAGGUCUUUAUUUGACACUGGAAGCAAUCCCACUUCUGAAUUUGUAGUUAAGCCCUUUGCUGAGAGAGAAGUGAUUUCUUUUUGUUUGAUUGCACACCUUGAAAGUCAGUGUUUCAGCUGGAGCUAUUAACUCCUGAGCUGCCGAGUGUGAAGGAUGAAACCCACAGAUUUACAAAAAAACUGGGGGCACUUAUUUAACAGCUUGUGAGAGGAGUAAGCGAUCAUAAGAAUCUGAACUCCUCUUGGAGAUGUUUCUCAGGACCAGAAGCUACCCCACUUCCAGCUAUAUUUAUUGGUGAAAAUCUUGAGUCACCCAAUUGCCUACGGAUAGGCAUCCUUGCUUACAGGUAAUCCUGAACAUGGUGUGCAGCUGAAUUAAUAAUCCGUCAUCUGACAAGUCUUGGAGAUGUUCCCUGCUGCUGUUGUGUUCAGAAAGGUCAGAGUGCACAAAGAAGCUUGCUGAAAGUAUCUCAAACAUGCUACAACAAAACAAUCUGUAUACGAAUUUUGAUCAGCCUCGAAAAAUGCCAGAAGAGGGCAGAAUGCGUUUUUGGGAUUCAAUGCCAGUGUCACAGCCUCAAUCACACCUCCAGACUCCACCCACAUAAUUGCCACCUUGCCACAUAUCAUACUCCUAAUGUUUUUUUUCCUUUAUUUUGUGAUUAUAUACAUCUUAAAUAUGAAUUUCAAAAUAUUUUUCCAUCAAAAUAACUUUGGUUUUCUUCAAAAUUCCUUAGGAGCUUCUAGAUAUAAAAUCCAAAUUUUAACAUGCUAUUUGUUGCCACUUUCCUUCGGGCAUGCACUAUCUUCUUUGAUUUUUAACUAUUUUCGUGAUUUCCUUGAUUUUCAACAAAGCAUGAAUAAACUUCAUGAUUCCAAAUAAUGGAAUUCGUAGAAUCAAUUCAUGCAAAAUUAAUUAGGGCUUUGGUGGGGGCCCGACAUUCAUGAUAUUCACUUCAAUAUUGUUUGCUUGAUAUCUGAUUGAUUUUUUUUUAUUCUUCUCGAUGAAAUACUUGAAUUCGCUUUAUAUUUAUUGUUGAGAUAUCCUUGUUUCCCAUAGACGUGUGGAUGCUCGCUAAUCAGGUACGCUCUUACCACCCUACAACUCUAAAAUUCUAUGAAUGUGUACGUUAUCAUGAGCCAUGACUAUGUUUGACGCCAUAAUUGAUUGCCUUGAUGCUUGUUUGAUCAUCUUUGAUAAAAUACAUAUUAUGUGUCAUAUUUUCAAGCUAACCUCUCAUGUUUUAUGAUAGCGCUUGAGAAGCCGUUCAGGUACGCACUUCGACUCUCUCUUAUGGUUGGUUUUCCUGUUAGGCAUGCAAUAUUCAAAAUCACCUAGCCUAUUUAGAUACCUAUAACGUACCGAUUAAUUGCCACACUUCCCUUAACUUAGUCAGUAGAGACCUUCAUAGGGCUUAGAGGGGUGCUACCUUUUAAAGGUACCUUCCCAAUAGGUAACCUGAUCCCCGGACCUAGACUCGGGUUUCUCAAAGACAUGCUUUUUCCAAAACUAUGGAGUCACUUUUUAGGGUUUUUCUUUCUUGUUUUAUUUUCCCUUUAAAAUAAAAAUAAAAUAGGUGGCGACUCCAACUUUUUUAAAAUUAAUUUUUCACAAAUAAAAAAGCGAGUCUCGUCGAUUGAGUGGGGACGCACGUGAAAAAUGCGGGUCCACAAUAUCCUUCCAAAAUUUCAUGCGAAAUGGACUUCAUUUGGUAGGUCCACCAGCAUCCUAAAGCUGGCGACCCAUUUUUCCCACUCUUUGCCGACGACUCCCCUACAUCUCUCACUCGAUUUCCUUUCUUCAUUUUCUUUUCUUCUUCUUCUUUUAAACUCUCACGCCAAUUUCACUAUAUAUAUAUAUGUAUAUGUAUUAUUAAAACAAAUCCUAAAAUGCCACGCACAUCCAUUUCUCAAUAAAUUAAAACCAUUAUUCUUAAAUUCACCUUCCGUAAUUAUGAAUUAUACCAAACUUAUGAUUUUCCAUUUCACGAAAAAUACCACCGUAUUCGUAAUUUAAUUUACUACAAGUCUACUCUUCAAAAAGUAUAAUUUGAUUAUAAUUACAUGAAACAUUGUUUUUUUUACUUUAAAAUUCAUUUAAAACAUGAUAUAAUUAACUAUUAACAAAAUUCAAUUCCAUAAAAUAUUAAAAACAUAAAAUAAUUUUUUGGCAAUCAAGAAGUUGAAAUUUGUAAUAAUAACCCUUAACCCGCUAAUUUUACCUAUAUUUAUUUACCAAAAAAAUUUAAAUAAUAUUCUAAAAUUUAAUUCCAUAAAUUAAUUAGUCAUUCAAUUAAUAAAAAUCAAAUUCUCUACCCUUUGGUAUAACUUUUAUUUAAUUUACUUCAUUUUUCAAAUUAUUCAAUCGCAUCAAAAUUUCAAAAGUUAAAUUCACUAAAUUCACAUUUAAUUAAUUUAUCCUUUUGUAUUUUUUUUUUCUAAAUUCGCAUAUCAUAAUUUAAUCUUAAUUUAAUUUUGAUUCAAUUUUGUUUGAUGUUUUCUAAUUUUAUGAGGUUUAAUUUCAAUUAUAAAAAUUAAAUUCAAUUUCUUUUUAAUUAUCCAUUAUCACAAUUUGAUAUAAUAUAAUUUUUUAUCAAGUUUUUCUUACUAUGAUUUUUCUUAUAAUUAUCCAAUAAUAAUUAAAUUAAUUCUCGUAACAUAUUUAAUAUUCAAAUUUUAAAAACUUAAUCUCAAUUAUUUGAUGGUUAAUUUUUUUCUCAAAAUCUAAAUUUAAUUUAUGAAAUUCUCACUCCUUACAUCUGACGUGGCAAAAUUUUCAAACUAUUGACUUUUGACCAACUUUUCCUAAAUUUAUCCUAAUUAAAUACUAACACAUGGAUUUUCACCACUCUUUUUGACCUUUUGACCCACAAAUUUAUGAAAGACUUUAUGCUUGGAGAAUCUACAAAAACCUGGGUAUUACAAUUUCUCAAGUUGAUAAGUGUCGUGGUUAUGAAGCCACCACUUGAAUACUCAGUCGCCAUUGUAAUGGGCCUGGAUGCAAAUAGUACAUCAUGUUUCUUCAAAAGUUCUCUGCUAAUCUCUGGGAAAGUUGCAGGGACGAGAUGAAAUAUUUCCCAAUUGAAUACAUGCAAUUUCAGUGUUCAUUUCUUUCAUAAAGCCAAUGUAUCCACCAGAAAGUUGUCUUGUUGUUGAGUAAAUGAGGUAGAUAUUGCACUAGUGGCCAUGGAGCUAAUCCUGGAGGAAGUUGUAUCGGCUUGCAUUUGGUACUUGUUUUGGAUUUUAAUUUAGUGAAGAUAAGAAAGAUUGAUG